rnacentral:rRNA from 1 species
AUACGGAGGGAGCAAGCGUUAUUCGGAAUCACUGGGCGUAAAGGACGCGUAGGCGGGUUUGUAAGUCAGGUGCGAAAUCCUACAGCUCAACUGUAGAACUGCACUUGAAACUACAGACCUAGAGUAUGGAAGGGGCAGAUGGAAUUAGUGGUGUAGGGGUAAAAUCCGUAGAUAUCACUAGGAAUACCGAAAGCGAAGGCGAUCUGCUGGGACAUUACUGACGCUGAGGCGUGAAAGCGUGGGGAGCAAACAGGAUUGAAACCCCAGUAGUCC